CAAGUAAGUUAGAGUUUUAAAUGAGAAAUCAAAAUCACAAGUAACUCGACCAUUUUAAAUUGAAUUUAUUUAUCCAACGAAUUCAAUUUUUUAUUCAACUUAAACUCAUUUGAUUCGUAUAUUUUUUACAGACCUUUGUUUGAAGAGUUAGCCGGAAAGACAUCAGUAUGGGGAGCCUUGUCACCUAAUGUGCAACAAGUGUCUUUCAAUGUGGAUUCUGAGUUUAAUAAACUUUUCAUAUCUAAGGCCACAGAAACCACAAGUCUCAUUCUCCCUACCAUUUAGUUUGACUUGUUUAUAGUAUACCCCAAUAAUAUUCUUAUGUGUGGAAUAUUUCUUUUAUUGAAUAUGUGUGGAAUUUAUGUAAUAAGGUGUUUGAUUUUUUUAUUUUUUUUGUUAAUUAAUAAACCCUACCCAAAUGGUGGGUAGAGUUUGUAUGCCAUGAUGUUACAUCCAGGCACCACCAUUUAUAAAUUUUAAUUAUCGGAAAAAAAAAAAAGUUCUAUGAUAAGUAUAAAUAUUGAUUAAUGUGAAUUGUGAAACUACAUGGACAUCCAACCAUGAUAAGCUUAAUGUAUUUUGGUAAUACAUACGCAACAUGAUCUUAGUAUAUGUGAAUGUCGUGUCAAACAUGAGAUGUUGUAGAAGAGUUAUGAGCCUAGGGAAAGCUAUUGACUAAUCCAACUUAACUCUUAUCACUUGAACCCAAAGUCUGAAGGUGUUGUUAAAAAUAAUGAUAAUUAGAAAAUAAUGAUAAUUAGUUAGUAGUUUAGGUGAUUAGUUAAUUACUUGGUUGGUUAGUUAAGCUCCAAAUAUGUUUUGUUUUUAAGGGGUAUGCUCCAAGUAUGUUCUAUAAAUAGAAUAUUAAUGUAUUCAUUUUUAAAGUAUCUUUUAUCGAAAUUAGUCUCUGAGUUUGUUUGUUUUAUUUCUUCUUUAAAUAUCUAUAUAUAAAAAAGCAACCACAAAUCCCUCCAAAAUCUAAUUGAUGUGUCCUUCCUUAGUUUUACAUCGUCUGCUAAUCAAUUAAGAUGUAUGUCUUCAGACCUCUCAAUUGACAAUGAACAUUUCUUUUUAGACUCUUCAAUACCUCUAAGGUCUCUUAAAUAUGGUAGUUACGGGCUUUAGAGAUAUUAGAGAACGUAAGGAGAAACGUCCAUUGACAUAAAUCAAACCAUCAUGAGGAUUGUUUCAACCUAUUGACAUAAAUUUAUUUUUGGAUACUUGAAAGGAUUUCAUGUUACACACCACUUAUAUAUAAUUUUUUAAUAUUUGAAAAACACUCAAAUCUCUAACCCAACACCUCACACACAUUUCUUAAACAAGACCAACUAAACAUCUAUCAAUAGUUCUAUGUCUUUAUAUUUUAUUUUUUAAAAUAUUAAAGAGACGUAAGAUCCACUUAGAGAGAUGACUUAGUAAAACUCAUUUACUCUAUAAACCUCACUUGACUUUUCUAUCCAGUUAGGGUGUCUAUUAGGAAUAAAAGGCUGAUGAAGUUAAGCCUCCCUUUUAUUGAUGGUCUUAACCCAACAAACUUUAGGGUUCUGCUAUAUAACUAUUAUAUAAUUUCCUUUUUCAUAUCCUUAAUCAGUGCCUCGGAGGCAGCGGUUAGUAUUUCCCCAAACUUUAUUCACAUCAUUGCACUAUAAUGAGAAGAUAAAUUAAUUUUCUGUUCUAAUAAUAAAUUUGAAAAAAAAUUAAUAUAAAUAUAAAUUAUUCCAAAUUUAAUAUUACUCUCAAUUUUUUUAAUUUUAGCAAUAAAUAAAUAUAAAAGAAAAAUGUUAACGAGUGCUCCCGGGGUACUCUUUAAGCUAUCAAAAACAAGAAAUUAUUCUUUAAAAAAGUCAAAUAUUUCGAUUUCCAAAACAUUAAUUACAUGCAUUUUCAUAAUAUUCUUACUACUUAUGGUUCUUAAAGAGUUAACAAGACCCUAUAUAUUUAUAGAUGAAGAUUGUAAAAGUAUAGGAUAAAAGCACAUGUGAUGAAGCAUGAGUACGAUUGCACAAAAUAAAAAGGGUAUAUAUGGUGACAAUGGUGCAAUGUAAGAAUGAUCAUGAUUGAAAGGGAAAAUACAAAAGGGUAUAUAUGGUGUAUGUUGAAUGGGACAACUUCGGUGUCUCUAUUAUUGACGCUGUGUUGGACAAUGUUAGGAAGAAAACUAAGUCUGUAUUACUCAUUUGAUUUUCAACGGUUUUUAAGAUUUUGAUGACCUAAAACGAAACUAUAAUUUGGAUCCUAAUUAAUAAAUAGUAUUAAAAGUAAUUUUUUAUUACGUUGAGAAAUAAUCUAAUAAAAACAUUAGACUUUAUAUAAAAAAUAUUAAAUUUUUUAUUUAAUAUUCAAUUGAUCUAAUAGAGGUGGACCAAUUCAUUAUUGAGGGGAUGCAACUGUACACUUUAAAAUUUUUAAUUUUUCUUUUCAUUUUGAACCCCUCACAUUUUCAUUUUGCAUCAAUAAAUGUAUUUUUCACCGACGAAACCUAUCAUUUUUCACCUUGUUGUUGUUGACUGACAACUGACAUAUACAUGCAAUGGUACAAUGUUAACUGAAAAUUUUAUUUUUUGUUACAAUGUUAAUUGUAAUUUUUUGUUUACAAGGCGAAUGAGACAAACCAAACAAGAAAAGAAACGGAACAAAAGAAACAAAUUACUCCCUAAGGAAGAAAGUUCCAGAAGCAACGUUCCUUAGCAAAUUGAGAAGACCAUUUGGAGGGGAUGCAUGAAUUAACAAGUCAUGGUUCCCUUCUCUAAGGGUGUGAUAAAUAAAGACUUUGCUUUAAGAAAUAAGUUCUUUAAUGUACUGAAUUAAAACAAUAUAGAAAUGAUACUUCACAAAGGGGUCAUUGAUGAGGUUAAUGCAGAGAAGAUAAUCUGAGUAGUAUACAAACUCAUCAAUACCCAAGUCUUUGGCAGUGAUGAAAUCUUUGUAAAUUUCAGAAGUUCAGCGAACAUAAUAUAAAAAGAACAUGUAAGGUGAGUUGACAAAGCCGAUAAAAAGAAACCUAAAUUAUUUCAAAGGACGCCUCUAAAACCAGCCCUGGAUGAAGACCCAAGACAACUCUCAUCCACAUUUAGAAUGACACACUGAUGAUUACUAUUAUUCCACUUGAUUAAACAAUCAUCUGAAGCAACAUUAACAUUGUACGAGAAGCUAUACUUGAGGACUUCUACCGUAUUGAAUAUUGAAAAAGAGGCGGUUUAAGGACAUUGUUUUGCUAUUCAAGCACAUCAAAUUUCGGUGUCUCCAAGCCCAUCAAACACACGGUGAAAAGAUGAUUGAUUGUUGUUCCGGACUAGGCCGAGGCCCAAUCUCGGUUAAGACCCGACUCCAACUGAGAUUCAUUGCAGAGUGAAUCCAUAUUAUGGACAUGCACUAAAACCCACUAGAUCAUUGUCUAAACCUUUAACAUGGACUGUCCAGUUCAGAUCCAAUGUCGUGAUUAUUUCUAGAACACCAUUCAGGACACAUGUCCAAGUGAAGGCCUAACAGCCAAAAGCCCAUUUACCCACUAUAUAUACUAUUGCACAAUAUUGGAUCAUCUAUCUCCCUCUUUUCCCUAAUAUUUGAUUUCACUCUUUGAGCGUCAUAGCACGUGUAAGUACACCACCCUUCUUCGGUUGAGAAGGACUUACGACAGACUAUGACGGACCCAUGAUAGAUUACUCACUCUUCUUAGUAGCACUCAACAUAAUAAAUAUUAUUUAUAGGACUAAAAUAAAAUUAGUUAAAUAUUUUUUUUGUCCCUACAAAAUGAAGACCUUUUAAAUUUAAUUUUACUUAAUUUUAAUUGUUCUUUUAGUUCUUUCAAAAAAAUUCUACACAGUCUUAGUCCUUGAUAAAAUUAAAUAUGUUUAAUUACUCUUUAACGCAACUCUUAUGUUUUUAAACCAUUUUUUGCUAAAAUAUUUAAAUAUUAUAAAAAGUUUCUCCAUAAAAAUAAGUUCAAAUUUUAUUUCUAGGUCUAAAUUUUAGUUACUUUUUUCCUUGAAAAAAAUCAUAUUUAAUUAAUCUAAACUCUUAAAUUUUUUAAUAGGUUUUUAAAAGACAUGUUCAGAAAUUAUAAAUAGUAUAUUUAAUAAAAAAAAAAUUACGAAAUUUGGUAAAAGAGAGUGCCGUACCGUUUUGCUCAUCCGUGAAAUUUAGUAUGCACCGAAUUCGUACCAUUCAACAUUUCUCAAAAAAUUAAUACAUUGUUAAAUGACCAAAACUUUGCUUUUUUCCUGUUUUAUGUUUUGGUCCUGUUACAUACAAAACAAAACUAGGUAAUAUGGUCCUAUUACAGUAAAUUUCUUUUCAGACGCUACAGUGACCUAUCCUAUGUUGUGCAGGGACGCCACUCACUUGAUUGAAUUAUUGCUCUGUACGUUUGCAUUGAGGAAAAGAGUUUUCUUUUUCUUCUUUAACAAAAGAGUUAAGAGGACUAGCGUUCAAAGAAAACAAAGAACAAACUAAAACAUGAAUUUAACAUUUUUAAGCAUAUAAGCCUAUUUAAUAUUAUAAAAAAAAAAUUCUAAAUCUCGUUAGGAAAAGUUUUCAUAACAUGAAUGUUUCUUGAUUAUGUCGAAAUGAUAAAAUUAACAAGCUAACCAACACUCUGAUUUUCCUUCUAUAAAAUAUGUUAAAUGUCUAAUUUAAACAUGCCAACUCAAGAAUAACAUACAAUGAAUGCGACACAUCAAAGCAAGAGGAGCAGCCCUCUUAAUCAUGUUGUUAUGUCUCAUCUCAAAUCAUAUCUACAAGAAUCUUUGAAUCACUUUGUAAAACGAAAAGGGGUAUUGACACUCUCUUUUUAACAAUAUCUAUAACACUUACUCUUUUAUCGGAUAAAAUUCAUGUGGAUACAACACAUUUAAAAUGGAUCCCACAUAAAGUGAUAAUACACAUGGGUUCAUCCAAUAGAAAUUGAGUGUUAAAAGAGACAGCUAAAAACAGAGUGUUUCUAACAUUUUUCUUUACAACAAGAAAAACAAAUCUACAAUUAUUACCACAAGCUUUCCAAAUUACAUCAAUCGAAAAAAAUUUUGGCUUAAAUUCUAGCAUAUAUUUGUUUUUUUACUAAAGAAUAUUGUGUGUAUCAGGUAAAACCAAUAAUUUAUGAUUUGUUUGUUAUAAAUUAAAAUAAAAGUGAUUUUAUCAGUGAAUAAUUUAGAGAUUUAAAAGGAAAAUUAAGAUCUAUUUUGCGUUUGUUUAAAAAAGAAAUGUUACAAAAUUAACUCAAUCUUUCACACUUAUUUUCUCUCAUCUAGAAGAAUCUGGUUUUUAGAAGCUACUUCUAACAACUUCUAAUUCAAAGUUGUUUUUAUAUUAUAUCUUUUUAAAAAGUUGUAAAAUAGAUGCAAUACUCUUAAAAAUAAUUAUUAAAAAAAAAAAAAUUCCCUUCAAAAAGUUAUUUGAAAUGGACUCUUAAUUUAUAAUUUAUAAGCUCACAUGACAAAAAAAAAAAAAAAAAAACUUGUUUGAUAUUUCUAUUUUAUUAAAAAUUUAUAACUUAUUCCAAAGGUCGAUCCAAGAGUAAUGCCGCCAAUGCCCUCACUUUAGACCUAUCAACAAAAAGUUAAUGAUUAAGUGUUUUUUCACUAAGUAUAAACAAUGAAAUGAAGAUAAAUAUACAAUUUUAGCGAAUUAAAUUAACUUAAUAAUAAUAUAUAAAAGAUAUAUCAAAUUAAUAAAUUAAGUCACUAAUUUCUAAAUACUUUAGUAUUAUUUGAUAUACAUUUUAUUAUGAUUUAAGGAUAUUAUUUUAUGUUAUUUUAUAUUCAUCUUCUAAUUAAACCGCUAAUUUUACAACCCUUUAAUUAACUUAUCAAUUAUAACCUAUCCCCUAUUUUACAUCUCUCUUAUUUUCCAAGCCAAUCAUAAGCAAUCAACAACUUGGAACAGUAUCCUACUUCAUAUAUAUAUAUACCUCCCUCAGUCUUGAACUCAUGAACUGAGCUUGCGCGUUCACACUAUAUUUUUGAACUAAGGAACACUGAUAUUUAUAAAUUUUGAAAAGCUUUUUUAGGGGAGAAAAAAUUCAAUGGAGUUGGACCUAACACCUAAGGCAGCACAACCAUUGUUUGAAGGAGAUGGUGGUUGUUACUACAUUUGGUUAAGUUCUCAAGUUCCAGUUUUGGCUAAGACCAAUGUUGGUGCUGCCCAUCUUGUGCUUCACCCAGGAGGCUUAGCUCUUCCCCAUUAUGGAGAUUGUUCCAAAGUUGGUUACGUCGUAGAAGGUAAUAUUAGAGAAAUCUUAAACUAUUAAGUUUUGGCUUAAAUAUGUAUUUCCUUUCAAUUAAGGGUCGUUUAAAAAUUGGUCUAUGUAAUCGCUAAUCCUGACAAUUUACCCUUGCAUUGUUUAAUCAUUUAAAAUUUCGUCCCUCUCCCCACUUAAUCACUGCCACGUCACUAAUUUGAUGACGUGACAAUCACUGUCAUACAUGAAAUUUCAAUUUUACCCUUGAGCUUCCAAUUCUCUCUUCAAUAUUUUGUCCUCUUCUUAAAGGCAAAAUUGGAAUUUCACGUGUGAUAGUGAUUGCCACGUCAUCAAAUUAGUGACGUGGCAGUGAUUAAGUUGGUCAAAGGACGAAAUUUUAAAUGAUUAAUGAUUGCAAGGCUAGUUUGCAAGGAUUAGCAAAUACAUAGACCAAUUUUUAAACGAUAUCUAAUUGCAACGAUGAAAUACAUAUUUAAGCCUUAAGUUUUUUAUAAUGAAUGUGUUUAGUUAUUUAUUCAAAUGUCCUCAAAUGCAUGCAGGGACUAAUGGUGUAGUUGGAAUGAUACUCCCCAGCACCGGAAAAGAAGUAGUUUUGAAGCUUAAGCAAGGAGACAUUGUACCAGUACCCAUUGGAGCUGUUUCAUGGUGGUUCAAUGAUGGUGACUCAGACUUUAAAAUUAUAUAUCUUGGGGAAACUUCAAAUGCUCUUGUUCCAGGGGAAUUCACAUAUUUUAUCCUAGGUGGUGUUCUAGGACUUUUAGGAAGUUUUUCUAGUGAAUUAAUAAGCAAAGUAUACAAUUUUAAUAAAGAUGAGGUGACCAAGCUAACACAAAGCCAAACUGGGGUUACAAUAAUCAAGUUAGAAAAAGGCCAACCUAUGCCUAAGCCACAAAUGGACCUAACUAAAGACCUUGUUUAUGACAUUGAUGCUAAAGCCCCAGAAAUUAAGGAAAAAAAUGUGGGAUUAGUCACAAGCUUAACGGAGAAAGAUUUUCCUUUUAUUAAGGAUGUUGGGUUAAGUGUGAUUAGGGUUAAACUUGAACCUAAUGCUAUUAAGGCACCUUCAAACCUAAUUACCCCUGGGAUUCAGCUAAUUUACAUUGCUAGAGGAAGUGGAAAAAUUGAAAUUGUGGGAAUCAAUGGAAAACGUGUCUUGGAUUCUCAAGUUAAGCCUGGUCAUUUGAUUGUUGUACCAAAGUUCUUUGUGAUUGCUCAAAUUGCAGGUGAAGAAGGAAUGGAGAGUUACUCUAUUGUGACAACUACCAAGUAAGUUGGAGUUUUAAACAUUAACAUAACUUGUUUGAGAAAUCAAAAUCACACAUAAAUGAAUCAAACGAGAUAAACUAUAUAUUGUUUAAAUUGAAUUUAUUGAUCCGAAUAAUUCAAUUUUUAUUCUACUUAAACUCAUUUGAUUCGUGAAUCAAGUUGAUAAUCAUAUCAAUCUAAAACUAUUUUUUAUUUGGUUUAGUUAAUUUUCAGUCUAACAUUAUUAGGGGUGGGUUGCACUAACAAAAAUAAUUGUAUAUUUAUUGCAGGCCUUUGUUUGAAGAGUUAGCCGGAGAUACAUCAGUUUGGGGAGCCUUAUCACCUACGGUGCAACAGGUGUCUUUCAAUGUGGAUUCCGAGUUUCAAAACCUUUUCAUAUCUAAGAGCACAAAAACCACAAAUCUCAUUCUCCCUACCAUUUAGUUUGG
rnacentral:lncRNA from 1 species